UUGCUAGAAUUGAAGUUUCAGCGGCUAGAAUUGAGUUUCACUUAUUUAAAAAAAAUCAGUUGAGUAGCCUUGAUCUUGAUAGUAUGACGUAAUGACUUGCAGGAGCGUAUACAUGCUUCCUCUGAGCUAGCUUAAAGUGGGGUUGUCAUUUUAGCAGGGACCUCAGGAAAACUGGAACAGUGAAGAAACGGUGUGUGGUUACAGACUUUUGUGUGAGGUUUUGAAAGUUAG